rnacentral:lncRNA from 1 species
GUUCUAUAAUCCAAAUGUUGUAAGUUUAGAAAGUAACAAGGUUGUUUUGGUUGGAAAGUUAUCUUGUGAGUAAAUGUCACUAAAAACAGUAAAAUGGUUUUAAUCUAAUAUAAAAGUUUGGCAAGAUUGGAGUUCACUAUUUCAAAUGUUUAUGCUUCCUUAUGAAAACUAUAUAGAUUUAAGAUUAUUGAUGAUGUUCAAGUAUCCUCUCAAAGUCAUUUAUGUCUAAAUGAUAUUGUGAUAAUCACUAUAUUG